rnacentral:misc_RNA from 1 species
GGAGAGGCUUCGCGUGCGAACAGAUAGAAGACCAAUUUACAGUUUGUUUGAUGACUCUGAUGAUGAAUUUGAUAAGAAGUCUGAGCCUAGACAGGAAAACUUUGAGAGAAUUUUCCGUCCUGACGCGAAAGAUGAAUCCUGUCAAGCUUGUGGAGGAGAGGGCGAUCUCUUGUACUGUGAAUCGUGCACUUAUGCUUACCAUCCCAAGUGCUUACUUCCACCACUAAAAGCUCCUCUUCCUAGCAGUUGGAGGUGCCCUGAGUGUGUAAGCCCCCUAAAUGAUAUUGACAAGAUAUUGGAUUGUGAAAUGCGCCCAACUGUUGCUGAUGAUAGUGAUGCUUCUAAUAUGGGGUCGAAACAUGUAUUCGUUAAACAA